UGGGGAAUUUUGGACAAUGGGGGAAACCCUGAUCCAGCCAUCCCGCGUGUGCGAUGAAGGCCUUCGGGUUGUAAAGCACUUUUGGCAGGAAAGAAACGUCGCGGGUUAAUACCCCGCGAAACUGACGGUACCUGCAGAAUAAGCACCGGCUAACUACGUGCCAGCAGCCGCGGUAAUACGUAGGGUGCAAGCGUUAAUCGGAAUUACUGGGCGUAAAGCGUGCGCAGGCGGUUCGGAAAGAAAGAUGUGAAAUCCCAGAGCUUAACUUUGGAACUGCAUUUUUAACUACCGGGCUAGAGUGUGUCAGAGGGAGGUGGAAUUCCGCGUGUAGCAGUGAAAUGCGUAGAUAUGCGGAGGAACACCGAUGGCGAAGGCAGCCUCCUGGGAUAACACUGACGCUCAUGCACGAAAGCGUGGGGAGCAAACAGGAUUAGAUACCCUGGUAGUCCACGCCCUAAACGAUGUCAACUAGCUGUUGGGGCCUUCGGGCCUUGGUAGCGCAGCUAACGCGUGAAGUUGACCGCCUGGGGAGUACGGUCGGCAAGAUUAAAACUCAAA
rnacentral:rRNA from 1 species